AUGACUAAAAUUAUAAUCUCAAGUAUCAUUCUUAUCAGUCUUGAAGCCACAGUUUUCUCUUCCCUCAACAUCCAGCAAUUACCACAACAUCUACUAAUAAAACCUGAGCAGAGGGAAGCGAAGCUCAGCUGCCGGCAUGGCGAUAACAACUAUCCCUACAUGUUCUGGUACCAACAAAAGGCAGUUGUUGAAUCCACUGAGCUCAUUGGAAUGCUUCAUUAUGAAAGAUAUACUCCUGAGGAGAACUUUAAAACACGAUUCAACAUUACAGGACACUCUAAGGGGGAUGCAUCUUUGCUUAUUUCCAGUCUAACUCCUGAGGACAGUGCAGUAUAUUUCUGUGCUGCUAGUAAGCACAGCCACACACUUUCCCUUUCUGUUUAA